GGGGGUGUUCUGGAUUCGAUUUCUGGUUGGAGUGCGCUGCUGCCGUUCGAGAGUGAAAGGUCUCUCGCAAAUCCCCUUUUCAAAAAACAUAAAUGGCAAUUACGAAGAAAUGCCCUUGGCAGCCUAAUUAGGCUCCACGUUGGUUCCGCGACACCUGCUAGCGGAUACUGACGACGACAGCAGGCAUAGUGUGUAGAGCGGCUCGCGGACUACACACCGUAUCUUCAUCCGGGAGUAAGCUUGAGCUUAAGCGCGGAUGAUCGCGUAACUCCGGCGAGAUUAAUGUCAUCCUAUAACGGUAGAUGCGGUGCACGAAUAUCAGUCACACGCGGGUUCAACUCCCGCCACCUCCACCA
rnacentral:tmRNA from 1 species